GUAAUUGCAUGUUCAAUGUUUCCCUUCAGAUUAUUGAUUCCUUCCAAUUUCUGUUUGUGCAGAUUAUCUUGUUCUUCUCUCUUGGCUCUCGCUCUUCUCGUAUUUUUUGGUAUAUACGUUAAGAAGUCUCACAUUGACCAAAGAUAUAAAAUCAAAAUAGUUCUUAUAAAUGGAAGAACAACAUUUAGUGAAUUUGCAUUUUGAAUAAUAUUUGUGGACAUGCAUAGUCGUGAGCUUUAUAAUAGACAAAUAUGAACUAAAAACGAACAAAAAUAAUUUUGCUCACCUUAAAUUAAUAGCAUGCUAAGUUUCCGAUGUACCAAAAAAAAAAAUUAAUAGCAUGCUUGGAAAUGCUUCAACCUCAUUCAAAAAUUGUUUUCAAUCCAAUCCACAUUGAUUCUAAAUCCAGAAGCAAUUAUGGUGAGAAACAGUUGGGUAGAAUUAGUUAUGAGAAAAUAGAAGUUGAGUCAAACAUGUUAUCAGUGAAACUUCUAUGAAGAAUUGAUUUGGCUUGCAUGAUUGAAUUUGAUUGUAUAACGUUUUUCGAACAUGCAUCAAUUAUAUUGUAAAUUGAAUAAUUGAUCAUCUAUUUUAGAGAGAGACAAACAAAGGGUUUGUGCUUUAGCUAUAGAAAUUCAUUUAUGAUAAGUUGUUGACUUUACUUUUGAUAUGUUUGAUGAAUGAGUAAAGAAACUCUAGAGCCAGAAGUGAAGAUCCUGAGCCUUGCAAUCAAGUCACCUGGUAGAGAUGACAUUGUUCUUCCAGUGCCUGAGACAGGAAAUCCUCCAGGUUUAUGGUUUACUUUGAAAGAAGGUAGCCGUUACAGCCUCAUGUUCACUUUCCAGGUUGGCCAUAACAUCGUUUCAGGUCUCAAAUACACCAACACUGUGUGGAAAACUGGUAUCAAAGGUAACCAACCUCUCUCACCAAAAUAUGCCAAAUACAACUUUUAUUCUUUGAAGUUUUAUCCUAAAAUUGUUGAGCUUUGUUACAGUUGACAGCACUAAAGAGAUGAUUGGAACAUUCAGCCCUCAAGCAGAGCCUUAUACGCAUGAGAUGCCUGAAGAGACAACACCAUCUGGGAUAUUUGCUAGAGGGACAUAUUCAGCUAGAACUAAGGUGUGUGAUAUAUAUAGCACUACACAUGUGAUUGUUUCAUGCAUCAAACACGUUUUUUUAGAGAAGUAACGAAAUCUCACAUACAUACAAUUUCUGACAAUCUUUAUCGGUCAUGUCACUUGAGACAAUUCAUUCCAGCGAUUCAAUUUGGUUUUUAAAAUAUAUAGAAGGCUUAAAUACUCUAGAGGUCCCUGAAAUUGUCUCAUGUACGAAAAUAAGUCCCUGAAAAAAAAAAAUUCCGAUUCCCAAUCCCUGAUUUUUUUUUUAAUUAGAAUAGGUCUCUACUCGUGUUUACAGCCUAUGUGACUUAAUUUUUGCUGAGUCAAUUAUUCCACGUGACUUUUAUAUUUUUUUUAAAUACACAUGGAUUAAAAAAAUAAAAUUAAACAUUUAAAAAAAUAAAAUUAAACAUUUAAGUUUAAUUAGAUUUAGGGAUUUAGGGUUAAUUACAUUAAAAUUUUAUUUUUUUAAAUUUUUAAUGUUAUUUUUUUAAUCCAUGUGUAUUUUUAAAAAAUAUAUAUAUAAGCCACGUGAAAUAAUUGACUCACCAAAAAUUAAGUCACGUAGGCCGGAAACACGAGUAGGGACCUAUUCUGAUUAAAAAAAUAAUUUCAGGGAUUCAUAAUCGGAAUAAAAAAUUUCAGGGACUUAUUUUCAUACGGGAAACAAUUUCAAGGACUUCCAGAGUAUUUAAGCCUAUAUAGAAUGAAUCAGUGUACAUGUCAAAUCCAAGAAACUAAUGGAUGUUGUGACUUGUUAAGGAAAUAAAGUGAGCACAAAUUAAUGUAUUUUUAGGAUCCGAGUUCUCUACAUUGAAUUUCAUCAAUGCAACGUAGUCAGGUUCUGUAGUCAUCUUAUUAAAAAAUAUUGGACGGCUCAUAUUUAAGAUUUCUUCGAUUUCAAUUGUACAAUCAUCUCUUUAAAUUUGAACCAUCUGAUCUUAAACUAACGACUACGGGUACAAAAUCCUAAACUUUAAGGAAUUUAGGAAAAUUCAACCGUAGGAAAUCCAAUUUCGUAUUUUGGGAGAUAAUCAGCCCACCAAUAAAUGCUCGAAUACAUUUGUUGCCAGAUUUCAAUAUUUCAUGUGCAUACAUUUAACCACUUAUUCAAAAUUCAAAUUCCCAUGUCACUUUUUCUCUCACAAAUUAGCUUGUGUCUUUUCUCAGAAAUGUUCUGUUAUGUUUUUGUGUUUUUCAGUUUGUUGAUGAUGAUAACAAGAUGUACUUGGAGAUCAACUACACUUUUGAUAUUCGGAAGGACUGGGUAUAGGGUUCACGCGACAUCUCCAAGAGUGGUGUUUAAUCCAUUGUCAUUGUUAUUUGAGCUGAAAUCUCCUUCAGUGUUUACUUGUUGAUUUUCCAUUGUUGAUUUUCUAUUUCUAAUCCUGUUUGAGACCGGUAAUCUUAACAAUGACGAGAGGAUGUCGAAUUUGGAGGAAGAGAGUCAUAUUCACUUGACAGAUAAUUUUGUCAAUAAAAUUCAUUUUGCUUUUAAUUUGGAUGCACAAUUAUGCUCUCUACUUCUUCUCAGCUCUCAUGCUUGCUCUUUGUAAUUACUAAGUUAAUAAGUAGAAUUUUUUCUGAAUUUGUUUUAAGCUACUGAGUUUUAUUGUGAACUUCAAGUAAUAACAUGCUUUUAUACGAUAAUUUUCAAUAUGUUUUGAUUAGUAUUUGUCAAUGUCAAAACUUCAUAUUAAAAGCUGCUUUCUGUAAAAAAAAAAGUUGUUUUGAUUCUAUAGUCAAAAACAAUUUUGGAUAAAAGUUUUAUAAGUAGUUUCUAUGGGUAAUAAAUUAAUAAUUGAUAAUGAGGAAAUAGAAAUUGAUACAAGGAUAGGUGAUUCUUCAUAACACGUGACUUUGGAAUUGGAAGGUAUUUAGGAACAUGUUUUUUGAAAUCGCAUAAACGUGUAGCACGUUGGAAUGGGACCAUAAUCCUGUUCAUCAUCUGUUAUCCUUUGCCAUGUGAUCUUUAAAUAUUGUUCAAAAGCAUUUUCCAAAACAAUCUUUAAUCAACUUCCCAAGUUUCACUUUAACUUUUGUUUUUGCUUUGAGAAACACGAAUCCAGGCCAUCAGCAUCAAAUUACAGUAAAUUUGAAUGUUUUGAGGAAGGAAAAAUUUCAUUCACACUUAUGUUUAAGUGGACAUUGAACGAAGAGAAGAAAUAGAUAGGAAGAAAAGAAAGAAAGUAAAAAAUGUGAUAUUAAAAUAAAAGUGAAACGGAAAAUUUUAUGAGUGUAAAUAAAUUAUAGUUUUGUGUUGAAGCUCUGAGGCGCGAUUUCCAUGAUUAAAGAAACAGGGAUUCUUGGUUUAGUUUACUCUAUAAUUCAAAUCUAAUUAAAUUUUAUUAUGAACAGUUAAAAUGAUUUUGCUUUGGCCUCUCCGCCAUUGCAAAGUUUCAUUUUUCAAUGGAGUGUUGAAUGGUUUUUGGCUCUUGGGAGAGUGGGUAACAUUACAUUCUCCUACUUUAUUCAUCUACACUUAUAUUUUUUGUGAAUACAAUGCUCCUAUAUUAGAAAAAAUAAAUAUUUUUUACACUUUCAAAAUAUCAAAUGCAGAAUAUACCUGUUUAUUUACGACACUACAUAGACGUACGUAUUCGAACGAGAAAUUAUACGAGGAUAUAACAUUAAUAUAAUUUCCUUUGUUUAUUUGUUUGUACUUUGUAGUUAGGCUUACCAAUGUCAAGUUGGAAGGGGACCUAUGCGGUAGGUGAGCAACCUAAAUGCAUUUGUAUAAUAUUUUGAAAAGUCAAUAACAACACGUGAAAUCAACAUCUUCAAAAGAUAUAUUUGUUAUCAUUAAAAGGAAAAGAAAGUAUAAUUUAUUAUUGAUUGUAUUGGGUUGAAGUAGCCCUUGUACUUCAUUUCAAUAUAUUUCUUGAAUUAUAAAAAAAUAAUUCAUUACUCAUUAUUGUUUCUAUUACUAUUUUAAUGCAAAAAUAAAAAAUUAUUUUACAUCACAAGUGUCCAUUCAACCUAAACGACAAUUCAGCCUACCAUCAUCCUGAUUGUUUUAAAUAGCUUCAUGAUCAUCAGUGACUAUUAAGUUAAUUAGUCAGUCAAAAGAUCAAGUUCAUAAUUUUCACUUUUCUAACAUAAAGUUGAGUUGUUAGAAUUGUUGUCAAGUCCAUCAUAAGCAAGGUUGAAGCUAUAAUAUCUCUUAAAUAUGAGUUUGACAAACAAUUAAUUGAUUAGUAACCAUUAUGUAUACAUUUUUUAUUCAUAAUAAAUUAAAACAGAAACAAUUCAUUUUUCUUUCUUAUUGCUUUAUUAAACUUUAAGAUUUUUUUCCUAAUAUUUAACUGAUUUAAGAAUUAUAUAUAGUAUAUUUCUUUCCAAUAAUUAUUUGUACACACCUCUAAAUUGAGGUGGAAAGAGGUGGAGGAGGAGAGAGAUAGGAAGAAAAGAAAAAGUAAGAGAGAGAAAGUAUAAGAUGUGAUAAAUGAUAAGAGGAGAGAGAUAGAAAUAAAAAUAGGUGAAAAUGAAGUGUAUAAAUAAGGAGGUAUGUAUAUAUCAUUACUCACUCUAUUUCUUUCCUAUAUACCAAAAAAAAAGCAUUAUAAUAUACUUUACAUUUUUUUUAUAAACCAUGACAUUGCAUUCAAAUAGCACAAGGGGUGCAACCCAAAAACAAUGAUGAGAGAUCCAUUCAAAGGGACAAGAAGGGGAGAAUAAUAUAUAUUUUACAUGUAUUUCUUCUGUUGUGAAUAUUCAUUGCUCCAUCGUGCCGGCCUAUCACCAAGCUCACCACAUGCAUUUUGCCUAGCACUGCCAGGCUCGAUCAUAGAACCAUUCUGCACAUCUUUUAAUAGAGCUGUAAGAUAUUCGAAGAAGAGCUCAUAAUUAGUUAAUACAUCCUUCAUAUAUCUAUAUUUUAUGGUGGAUUGUGUUAAAAACUAGUCCGCAAAUAAACCAUAUUUUUAAUACAAAUAUUUAAUAUGUUUUAUUUAUAAUAUGUUUCUUAUUAUAUAUUAAAAUUAAUGUUUUUCCUUCUUUCCAUUUCUUUCUUUUUUCAUUAUUAUGAAUGCACUCCAAACAUAUAUUAAACCACCACAAUUUCUAACUAUCAAUUCAAUUAGUCAACUCUGCUCAAUAUAAUAGACAUUCCAUUAUUUUGGAGAAACGAAACGUAGAAGAUGGAAGGAGAAAUCAGCAACUUCAUCAUGGUAUGGAGCUUAGCUAUGGCAUUACUUUGCUACAGCUACACAAUUGGCAAGAUCAUCCCUCAAGGUAAAACCAGACUCCUCGCCCUCUCACCACCCACAAUCCUCCUCUUCAUUCUCCCUCUCAGGCUCACCUCCAUGCACCUCGGAGCCCCUUCUUCCUUCUUCCUCGCUUGGCUUUCCACCUUCAACCUCCUCCUCUUCUCCUUUGGCAAAGGCUCCCUCUCAUCAAACCCCCCUCUUUCCCUCCCUCACUUUCUCCUCCUUGCUUGUCUUCCCAUCAAAUUCCAACCCCAACAUCACAAUUUCAAAUCGCAAUCAGCAACCACAACGAUGACCGCAGCAUCUAGAAUUAUUGAGUCUCCGCAGCUAGAUGAUGACCACAUCAACCGGCAUUUGUUUGCAAGUCCACAACCGAACCACCGCAAUAAAGUUAUUGCCAACAAAAAAUGGCAAUUCAACUACGAUAACUAUAGGUACACAAUCAUGGUUAUACUUUUUGCUUCAUGUGUUCCUCUCUACGAAAAGAAAGAAAAUUUCCACCCCAAGUUCACAAUGUUGUUGUACACUCUCCACAUGUACACGGGGAUAGAAAUCUCUUUUGCUUUUGUUUCCGCAAUGACUCGCAAAUUUUUACAAAUAGAGAUGGAGCCACAGUUUGAUGAACCUUAUCUCAGUACCUCGCUCCAAGACUUUUGGGGAAGAAGGUGGAACAUGGUGGUGACACGCAUCCUCCACCCCGCCGUGUAUGUUCCGGUGGUCAACGCCUGCAGCCACGUGAUAGGGAGGAAGUGGGCCCCUCUCCCGGCUGUGGUGGCUACUUUCACGGUGUCAGGGAUGAUGCAUGAGGUGGUAUUCUACUACAUCAAGCAUGAGAAGCGCACGUGGGAGCGUUGGGAACCCUCAUGGGGUUCCAUCUGCUUCUUCAUUCUUCACGGGGUGUGUUUGGCGCUAGAGAUUGGAGUGAAGAAGGUGUUUUUUAAAAAGAAGUGGUCGUUGCCAAGGGUGGUGUCGCGCACCCUCACGGUGGCGUUCGUGGCGGGGACUGGGGUAUGGUUGUUUGUGCCGGCGCUUGCUGGGUGUGGGGCGUUUGUGAAGGCGCAAAGAGAGUUUGUUGCGGUUGUUCAGUUCGUGAAGAAUGUGUACACACUAAUGUUCAUAAGUUUUUAUUUCAGGUGAUUAACGUGUUAGUGGUGCAAUAUUGUAUGUUAAUGUUUAGUUUGGGAAAAUAACUUAAUUAAGCGUUUAUGAUCAUAAGUGCUUAUGACAUAAGCGCUUAUUUAUAAGCUAUUUUAAAAAAUUUAUUGAAAAAAAUUGAAAAUAAGCUAUAAUAAGCAUAAACUCUUUUUCAUAAGCUAUCAUAAGUAGCUUAUAAAAAUAAGCUCAAAACAGCUUAUGAUAGCUGUUUGCACAAGCUCUUUCAAAUAAUGACAUAAGCGCGUAUGCUAUUAUUUAAAAUUGACGGGUUGUUCUCAUAUGAUCCCAUCAAUUUUCCUAUAUUAUUAGUUGAUCUUGGAAGUCAUUGUGGCAGUCGCAGAAGCUCCCUCGAUGCAAAGACGUCGCGUGGCGAGCCUUCGUUGGAAUAUUAUUGGUCAUAUCAACUUUAAGAGCUCGUGGGGUGGACGUUGAAGACGCUUGUCCUUUCUGUCAUGGGGAGUCAGAAACUAUCAAGCAUGUCUUUUUUUCCUGCUCAGUGGUCCAGCGAUGGUGGUUUGCAUCUCCAGCAGGCUUGCGGUUCCAGAACGGUGAAACUAUACAUGAUUUUAUGUAGCAAAUUUUUCGUAUUGCAGAUCCGGAAAUCAUUGGAUUGUGUGUGGCUUACAUGUAUGCCAUUUGGGAGUUAAGGAACAAGAUUAUGUUCCAGGGUGCUACGCCGUGCUUGGAGGGCCUACUCCGACGUUUAUCCAGCCUUCAUGGGCCACCAGAUCAGCAGGUGCAAGUGCAGCAUCGUGCAAGCGGUUCAGAAACGUUAGCGAGAUGGAGCCAUCCUGAAGGAGAUGUGGUCAAGUUGAAUUUCGACGCUGGGCUUGGUUUGAUUGCCAGGAAUGCUAAUGGAGAGGUAAUGGCAGCAGCUACGGCAGGACCCCUCCAGGUUUCUUUAUCUCUGUUGGCUGAGGCGCUAGCCUUCCGUUGGACCAUUUCCAUGGCUAUAAAUUUAUGCUUCCCUGAAGUUUGUCUAGAGACUGAUUGUUUGCAGCUCUUUGAAGCUUAGAGGAAAUCAAGCGAGACUCUUCUUAUUUAUUUUCUAUUUUGCAAGAUUGUAGAGCAUGAUUUCGUCGUUUCGUUCUUUUCAAGCACAAUUUGGGGGUGAACAUCAUGAGAGGAAUCUCAGUAGACAUGUGAGUGAAAGCUCCAUCGCUAUCACCGAGGAUGAUGAUGAUGACUUGGAGAGGAAGAUUGAAUUGGGUCCUCAAGUUACUUUGAAAGAGCAGCUUGAAAAGGAUAAGGUUGAUUUUGCCCUUUGAUUAAUUUCUCCUUGGCCUUGCAUGCCUUUGUUUUUCUGAAAGAUCCAUCAUUUGUGCUAAUGUAUCAUGUGUUGUUUUCUGUUUAGGACGAUGAAAGCUUGAGGAGGUGGAAGGAACAGCUUCUUGGAAGUGUUGAUGUGAAUGCUGUUGGAGGUAAUUGCAUGUUCAAUGUUUCCCUUCAGAUUCGUGAUUUCUUCUAAUUUCUGUUUGUGCAGAUUAUCUUGUUCUUCUCUCUUGGCUCUCGCUCUUCUCGUAUUUUUUGGUAUAUACGUUAAGAAGUCUCAAAUUGACUAAAGAUAUAAAAUCAAAAUAAUUCUUAUAAAUGGAAGAACAACAUUUAGUGAAUUUGCAUGUUGAAUAAUCUUUGAGGACAUGCCUAGUUGUGAGCUUUAUAAUAGUCAAAUAUGAACCAAAAAAGAACAAAAAUUAUUUUGCUCACAUUAAAUUAAUAGCAUGCUUGGAAAUGCUUCAACCUCAUUCAAAAAUUGUUUUCAAUCCAAUCCACAUUGAUUCUAAAUUCAGAAGCAAUUAUGGUGAGAAAUUGUUGGGUAGAAUUCGUUAUGAGAAAAAUUGCUGAGUCAAACAUGUUAUCAGUGAAACUUCUAUGAAGAGUUGAUUUGGCUUGCAUGAUUGAAUUUGAUUGUAGAAUGUUUUUCGAACAUGCAUCGGUUAUAUUGUAAAUUGAUCAUCUAUUUUAGAGAGAGACAAACAAAGGGUUUGUGCUUUAGCUAUAGAAAUUCAUUUGUGAUAAGUUGUUGACUUUACUUUUGAUAUGUUUGAUGAAUGAGUAAAGAAACUCUGGAGCCAGAAGUGAAGAUCCUAAGCCUUGCAAUCAAGUCACCUGGUAGAGAUGACAUUGUUCUUCCAGUGCCUGAGACAGGAAAUCCUCCA
rnacentral:lncRNA from 1 species